CAGUUCGGAUUGUAGUCUGCAACCCGACUACAUGAAGCUGGAAUCGCUAGUAAUCGCGAAUCAGAAUGUCGCGGUGAAUACGUUCCCGGGUCUUGUACACACCGCCCGUCACACCAUGGGAGUCGGAAAUGCCCGAAGUCAGUGACCUAACCGAAAGGGAGGAGCUGCCGAAGGUGGAGCCGGUAACUGGGGUGAAGUCGUAACAAGGUAGC
rnacentral:rRNA from 1 species